rnacentral:rRNA from 1 species
UGACCUACGGGAGGCAGCAGUGGGGAAUAUUGGACAAUGGGGGCAACCCUGAUCCAGCCAUGCCGCGUGAGUGAUGAAGGCCCUAGGGUUGUAAAGCUCUUUUGUGCGGGAAGAUAAUGACGGUACCGCAAGAAUAAGCCCCGGCUAACUUCGUGCCAGCAGCCGCGGUAAUACGAAGGGGGCUAGCGUUGCUCGGAAUCACUGGGCGUAAAGGGUGCGUAGGCGGGUCUUUAAGUCAGGGGUGAAAUCCUGGAGCUCAACUCCAGAACUGCCUUUGAUACUGAAGAUCUUGAGUUCGGGAGAGGUGAGUGGAACUGCGAGUGUAGAGGUGAAAUUCGUAGAUAUUCGCAAGAACACCAGUGGCGAAGGCGGCUCACUGGCCCGAUACUGACGCUGAGGCACGAAAGCGUGGGGAGCAAACAGGAUUAGAUACCCCAGUAGUC